GAUCAUGGCUCAGGAUGAACGCUAGCUACAGGCUUAACACAUGCAAGUCGAGGGGCAGCAUGGUCUUAGCUUGCUAAGGCUGAUGGCGACCGGCGCACGGGUGAGUAACACGUAUCCAACCUGCCGUCUACUCUUGGCCAGCCUUCUGAAAGGAAGAUUAAUCCAGGAUGGGAUCACGAGUUCACAUGUCCGCAUGAUUAAAGGUAUUUUCUGGUAGACGAUGGGG
rnacentral:rRNA from 1 species